UUCGCCCCCGAUACGACACCUCGGAUAUGACAUGCGCUCCCGCUAUAUAAAUCCUCGGUUCGAAUCGUAGGAUUUUAAACGGAUGCGGCUUUGGCGUUUGGCGUACGGGAAGGGCGCCGUCGGUGGCGGUCGAUCGCCCGGCAGACCGCGUCGCCGUCGGACAAAAGCAGCAGCGGGCCGGGGGAAUUGAACCUGGGGUCGCGAUAAGACAGCGACGCGCAUCCGGCGCCGCCCUACAUUAUCUAUUUAUCUGGCGCGGAUAGGAACCGCUCGACGACCCCUGCUUUGGAGAAUUUUUACGGCCCCGAUUCCUCUAUCCGCGAGAUAUAUGUCUGGUUCCAUUUUAUCUGCAGCACCAACGGGGCCCCUCUGUCUCUCUCUCGUCUUCCUAAUCCUACCUACUGCCUCCCUCCUGGUCCCCGUUAAUCAUGAUAGCUUCGUCCUUUUCCUUUUUUGGAUCAUAAAGAAGGAGUGCUGCGAAAUGCUUAGUGGUGGGAUUAUCGUGAUGAGUGUAAUUACCGGUCAGCUCAAACAUGCUUACAUCAUGAUGAGUGUAUUACGUUUGCAUAUCUAGCGCGCCCUCGAGGUCAAAACAACUCGGUCAACAUAAUACCACUGUCACAGCACGUCGCCUGCCGUUUGCCACGUACAUGUGAAGUGGAAGACGUGACGGCAUGGCUUCAUGCCCGAUGCGGUGAUGCUUCCGCCGUGCGUAAAACAUAAAGAAUGCCAGCAGAUCUUGACUUGACGCGUUCAUGGCUCAUGCGCCUCACCGGAACUUCAAGGAUACGCCUAUUUUAAAAGCUAAUCUCUGGUCAAGGGCUUAGGUAAGACCGGAUAUUCGGUGGUGAGGCUGCAUUUGCUGGGUGGCCAGUCCUCCGUUUUUGUAUCUUGCUUUGUCGGGCGUAAUAUCAUAUUGGGUUUUGAGGGAUCUGCAUGUGGAUCAUUGAUGUACACUGCUUACUUGCGAACGUGCACCUUAGAGAGAGAAGAUUCGGAGGGAGAGGAUGCAGAAGCGUUUGAUGCAGAUGGGCCGUACAUUUGUAUGGGAAUUCUCCAGCCCACCAAAUAAUCGGUUAUACCGGCCUACUUGGACUGUCCCUUUUCUAUUGGAAUUUUGUGGAUUUGAAUCCUUUUUUUUUUCUCAAGGACCAUUUUGAUUCAUAUCAUCGGGCAACCAAACUCCUAUGGUUCUAACUCCACGUUGAUGUGCACUAGGAUGUUGCGAUAAUUGAAGCAGAAACUCAAAGUCGAUUUUGAGGUGAUGAUCCGACUACAUCGCACACAAGACGAUGCGUUCUAGCAAUAAGGGUUGGAAAACACGGCAAACCUAAAACAUGAAGUUCUGAUCCCUGAGAACAAUUGAAGAAAGCAAGAACUGUGACUUAGCAAUCCGAAAUUGUGAACAUAGAUGAAGUAAUACUUAGAUAUUGGUGUUCCGAAGUGGGCUUCACAUUUGGUCACAAAGUCGUAACAAUUGCCUAACUCUUAACUAAACAAAACUCAAGUCUAAACCCUAGAGGCAGUGCCAAGGGCCA
rnacentral:lncRNA from 1 species